GACGUGUGCAAGAGAAAAUAGUGACACAGGGAAUCAAAACUCAAAAAAUAAGCAUAGCAAGAGCAAGAAUGCUGAAGCCAAAAUAAAAAAAAUAAAAAAUGCAGCAAAAUAAAAAUGAGAAAUGGUUAACAAUCAUUAGGAUCCUUCAGAGAAAGUACAUAAGCGAUCAGCUUAGAAAGGCCUCAGCAGUCACUUUGCAUCUCAGAGAGUUUUAAACACUGAGGACUUAACAGGGACAGGUUUCAUCUUCUUGUUGCUAAGUGCUCUCAAGAAGGUCCUGCACUUCAGGCCUCCCCCCUGCGUUUCUAUUGUGCUAAGGCAUCCGAACCUGCACUGAGGACUUCGACUGAUUUCUGGCCAUCUUAUAAUAGGACUUAUAAUAAGACAGCCAUCCGCUAGGCAGGAGGAAAAAGGAGUGAACAAAAGGUUCUCUACACUGAUAAGCUUUACAACCAGAAGUCACUAUUUAAAGGCAUGCUGGGUAUUGACAAAAAUCAUUGUAGCUGCCAGAGGCAAUGCUCUCUGUUAUCAAGGUUGACUGGGAACUAUGGCAGUUUAGAAAAUCAAAUGUCUCGAUUAACAGAGAAUUAACUGUAUCCAGCAUACGUUCCCAGGUCCAGGAAACACACUCAGCACUGGAAUGACUGUUACUAAAUGUGUCUUGCUGAGCAUGACGUCAGCUUUCUUUGCUGCUCAGAGGUCACCAGAGGAUUCUGCAGUGCCUGGCUCCAUCCCCUGGACCAUCAGUCCUGCUGUACUGCAGGGCUCGGGAAGGGCCAGGAAACAGGGCUGUCCAGCAGACAAAGUGCCAGCUGUCGUCUCCACUAUGACAACUAUGUUCUAAAUUCACUGAUGUCAUAAUAACAAGUUUAAAAGAAUCAAGCUAAACCACAUAAGGAAGUAACUAUAUUAUGAACUGUUCAUUUUUCUCAAGAAAUGUGUUUUGACUAACAUCGUAAAGCCAAUUUAUCAACAAAUAUCGUUGGAGAUGUUUUAGGGAGCUCACUUCUGUGCUUAACUUGAGAAUAAAUGGCAUGAAAAUUGAA